rnacentral:rRNA from 1 species
AGUGAACGCUGGCGGUAGGCCUAACACAUGCAAGUCGAACGGCAGCACAGGAGAGCUUGCUCUCUGGGUGGCGAGUGGCGGACGGGUGAGGAAUACAUCGGAAUCUACUCUGUCGUGGGGGACAACGUAGGGAAACCUACGCUAAUACCGCAUACGACCUACGGGUGAAAGCAGGGGACCUUCGGGCCUUGCGCGAUUGAAUGAGCCGAUGUCGGAUUAGCUAGUUGGCGGGGUAAAGGCCCACCAAGGCGACGAUCCGUAGCUGGUCUGAGAGGGUAAUCAGCCACACUGGAACUGAGACACGGUCCAGCCUCCGACGGGAGGCGGCAGUGGGGAAUAUUGGACAAUGGGCGCAAGCCUGAGCCAGCCAUACCGCGUGGGUGAAGAAGGCCUUCGGGUUGUAAAGCCCUUUUGUUGGGAAAGAAAUCCAGCCGGCUAAUACCCGGUCGGGAUGACGGUACCCAAAGAAUAAGCACCGGCUAACUUCGUGCCAGCCGCCGCCGUAA